GACGAACGCUGGCGGCGUGCCUAAUACAUGCAAGUAGAACGCUGAAGAGAGGAGCUUGCUCUUCUUGGAUGAGUUGCAAACGGGUGAGUAACGCGUAGGUAACCUGCCUUGUAGCGGGGGAUAACUAUUGGAAACGAUAGCUAAUACCGCAUAACAAUGGAUGACACAUGUCAUUUAUUUGAAAGGGGCAAUUGCUCCACUACAAGAUGGACCUGCGUUGUAUUAGCUAGUAGGUGAGGUAACGGCUCACCUAGGCGACGAUACAUAGCCGACCUGAGAGGGUGAUCGGCCACACUGGGACUGAGACACGGCCCAGACUCCUACGGGAGGCAGCAGUAGGGAAUCUUCGGCAAUGGGGGCAACCCUGACCGAGCAACGCCGCGUGAGUGAAGAAGGUUUUCGGAUCGUAAAGCUCUGUUGUAAGUCAAGAACGAGUGUGAGAGUGGAAAGUUUACACUGUGACGGUAGCUUACCAGAAAGGGACGGCUAACUACGUG
rnacentral:rRNA from 1 species